rnacentral:rRNA from 1 species
UAGUCCACGCCGUAAACGAUGUCUACUAGAAGCUCGGGUCUUCGGACUUGUUUUUCAAAGCUAACGCAUUAAGUAGACCGCCUGGGGAGUACGGCCGCAAGGUUAAAACUCAAAUGAAUUGACGGGGGCCCGCACAAGCGGUGGAGCAUGUGGUUUAAUUCGAUGCAACGCGAAGAACCUUACCUACACUUGACAUACAGAGAACUUACCAGAGAUGGUUUGGUGCCUUCGGGAACUCUGAUACAGGUGCUGCAUGGCUGUCGUCAGCUCGUGUUGUGAGAUGUUGGGUUAAGUCCCGCAACGAGCGCAACCCCUAUCCUUAGUUGCCAGCGAUUCGGUCGGGAACUCUAAGGAGACUGCCGGUGAUAAACCGGAGGAAGGUGGGGACGACGGUCAAGUCAUCAUGGCCCUUAGUGUAGGGGCUACACACGUGCUACAAUGGGCGCAUACAGAGUGCUGCGAACCUGCGAGGGGUAA